GACGAACGCUGGCGGCGUGCUUAACACAUGCAAGUCGAACGGAAGGGCCCGGCUUUUGUGGGGUGCUUGAGUGGCGAACGGGUGAGUAACACGUGAGUAACCUGCCCUUGACUUUGGGAUAACUUCAGGAAACUGGGACUAAUACCGGAUAGGAGCUCCUGCUGCAUGGGGGGGGUUGGAAAGUUUCGGCGGUUGGGGAUGGAAUCGCGGCUUAUCAGCUUGUUUGUGGGGUAGUGGCUUACCAGGGCUUUGACGGGUAGCCGGCCUGAGAGGGUGACCGGCCACAUGGGGACUGAGAUACGGCCCAGACGGCUACGGGAGGCAGCGGUGGGGAGUAUUGCACAAUGGGCGGAAGCCUGAUGCAGCAACGCCGCGUGCGGGAUGACGGCCUUCGGGUUGUAAACCGCUUUCGCCUGUGCCGAAGCGUGAGUGACGGUAAUGGGUAAAGAAGCACCGGCUAACUACGUG
rnacentral:rRNA from 1 species